rnacentral:rRNA from 1 species
GAUGAACGCUAGCGGCAGGCUUAAUACAUGCAAGUCGAGGGGCAGCGGGAGUAGCAAUACUUGCCGGCGACCGGCGCACGGGUGCGUAACACGUAUGUAAUCUGCCCAUCACAGGAGGAUAGCCCGGAGAAAUCCGGAUUAAUACUCCAUAAUAAAUUGAGUGGCAUCACUUGAUUUUGAAAGUUCCGACGGUGAUGGAUGAACAUGCGACUGAUUAGUUAGUUGGUGAGGUAACGGCUCACCAAGACCACGAUCAGUAGGGGUACUGAGAGGUUAAACCCCCACACUGGUACUGAGACGCGGACCAGACUCCUACGGGAGGCAGCAGUAGGGAAUAUUGGACAAUGGGCGCAAGCCUGAACCAGCCAUGCCGCGUGCAGGAAGACGGUCCUAUGGAUUGUAAACUGCUUUUAUACAGGAAGAAACCCUCCCACGUGUGGGAGAUUGACGGUACUGUAGGAAUAAGGAUCGGCUAACUCCGUGCCAGCCGCCGCAGUAAUAC